rnacentral:lncRNA from 1 species
CACUGUUCCAAGCCCCACUGGGUCCCUGUGAGCACCUGAGUUGUGGGCUGUGCAGGGAGCAAAGCGGCUUCCUAAGUCCUGCCUGUGGAGCGGCUUCAAGUGAUAGUGUCAACUAUGGGGGUCCAAAGUCAUGCGAGGCUGAGGUCUCCGGUUCCUUCUGAAGCUUCCUGGGGCCAUGGACAUGUCCUCCAAUUCAGCCUGAUGACCUUUGUAUCGCAGAGAACUCCUGUCAGAAGUGCAAAGCCUCCAUUUCAUUGGCUGCCUCAAAAGGAGCUCAUUUUCAUAUUAACAGGUUUUCCAGGGGAGGCACAGGCUCUGUGAGGAACAGAGAGCUGCGGGGUAAACAACCCUCAGAGAAGGAGUCGA